ACCUAUAGUCUCAGCUACUCAGGAGGUUAAGGCAGGAGGAUCACUUGAGCCCAGGAGUUCUGGGCUGUAGUGCGCUAUGCUGACCCACUAAAUUCUGCAUCAGUAUAGCGACCUCCUGGGAGUAGGGGACCACCAGGUUGCCUAAGGAGGGGCGAACAGGUCCUGGUCAGAAAAAGAGCAGGUGAAAGCUCCUGGGCUGAUUAAUAGUGGGAUAGCACUUGCGAAUAGCCACUGCACUUCAGCCUGGGCAACAUAGCAAGACUUUGUCUCUU
rfam:Chlorocebus sabaeus isolate 1994-021 chromosome 15, whole genome shotgun sequence.